CGAAUUGCUGCUGCCAUCCGCCAAAGCUUCAGCUCCCAAACCAUCCUCUCCUGUCAAGUUUUGACAGGUUGGAGUUUUCGGGUAGGACUGGAAGGUGUUAGUUUUUAGCAGGAAGAAAAAGAGAUCCGCAGCAUCGCGCAGGCACACUGUCUAGUUUCCCUACUAUUAAGCGUGGGUAGAUUUUACUGUUUACAGCGAUGUUCGUUUUAAUUGCCAAAAAUGUCACUGGGCGGGUGUAUUUGUUGGGCCUCGCGGGUAUUUUGUGUGACUGCAUGGAUAGAAGGGUUUAUUUGUGUGACAACUGUUUAGCUUCGGUAGAAAGACGAGGGGUGUCGUGUGCGAUUCUUUUGGUAACCGAAAGCUUUUGACAGUGGAGAGAGAGAGAGAGAGAGAGAGAGAGAGAGAGAGAGAGAGAGAGAGAGAGAACUGAGAGAGGUGGAGGGAGAUAACUGAGCGAAUUCGUUUGUUGUUGGCUUGAAGCUACUCCCUACCCAUCGAAGUUCCUUUAGUACGAAUUCGUCUCCAGCUCAAUAGGAAUCAAGCCCUUCAUUGUUCUGCUUGGGGAAGAAAGCAAUUGCAGAGAUCUCUCUUCCGGUCUCCAUUCUGUCGUGGAUAGAGAAGGAGCGAAAACAUGGCAGAUGAGGAGCUGAAUAGCCCAAUCGAUAUCGGACAAGUUGAUAGACGGAGGCGGUUGGUUCGGUCUUUCUGGAGAGGAAAUAGAUGACCAGAUCCGGCAGCUUCCAGUGCUCUUGAUCGCUUGGGGCUGCAACGGUUUUUACCGAAGAUGAAGGUUGUGGUGGUUGA